AAUCAUGAUAACUCGACGGAUCGCACGGCCCUCGUGCCGGCGACGCAUCAUUCAAAUUUCUGCCCUAUCAACUUUCGAUGGUAGGAUAGUGGCCUACCAUGGUAUCAACGGGUAACGGGGAAUUAGGGUUCUAUUCCGGAGAGGGAGCCUGAGAAAUGGCUACCACAUCCAAGGAAGGCACCAGGCGCGCAAAUUACCCAAUCC
rnacentral:rRNA from 1 species